ensembl:snoRNA U3 Small nucleolar RNA U3
AAGACUAUACCUUCAGGGAUCAUUUUUAUAGUUUGUGACUAGAGAAGUUUCUCUGAGAUGUAGAGCACCGAAACCACGAGGAGGAGCCAGAGCAUCCUUGCCUGAGCAUGAAUUCAGUCUUAGGUGUUGCUUUUGCAACUGCCUUUUACCAUUGAUGAUAGUUCUUCUCUUCCCUUGGAAUAAUGAGAGGGAGAGGAUGCAAUCAAGAAAAG